rnacentral:rRNA from 1 species
GGGUCCGCACAAGCGGUGGAGCAUGUGGUUCAAUUCGAUGGUACGCGAGGAACCUUACCUGGGCUAGAAUGCAGUUGGAAUGUCGCUGAAAGGCGACAGCCCCGCAAGGGGCCGGCUGUAAGGUGCUGCAUGGCUGUCGUCAGCUCGUGCCGUGAGGUGUUGGGUUAAGUCCCGCAACGAGCGCAACCCCCAUCAUUAGUUGCCAUCGGGUAAAGCCGGGGACUCUAGUGAAACUGCCUGCGUAAGCAGUGAGGAAGGAGGGGACGACGUCAAGUCAUCACGGCCUUUAUGUCCAGGGCUACACACGUGCUACAAUGGUAGGUACAAAGGGCUGCAACACGGCGACGUGAAGCCAAUCCCAAAAAACCUAUCUCAGUCCAGAUUGGAGUCUGCAACCCGACUCCAUGAAGCUGGAAUCGCUAGUAAUCGGAUAUCAGCUAUGAUCCGGUGAAUACGUUCCCGGACCUU